UACAGAGGAUGCGAGCGUUAUUCGGAAUUACUGGGCGUAAAGGGUGCGCAGGCGGUUCUGCAAGUCAGGUGUGAAAUCCCCGGGCUCAACCUGGGAAUUGCAUUGGAGACUGCAAGGCUAGAAUCUGGCAGAGGGGGGUAGAAUUCCACGUGUAGCAGUGAAAUGCGUAGAGAUGUGGAGGAACACCGAUGGCGAAGGCAGCCCCCUGGGUCAAGAUUGACGCUCAUGCACGAAAGCGUGGGGAGCAAACAGG
rnacentral:rRNA from 1 species